AAACGGGGGAGAAAUGUAUUCCCUUUCCUUGUCUACCCGCUCCAAGAGUAAACGAGACAACUCUAGUUCGCUGCCCGACAAGGUGCUGUAAAAUCGUGUAAUCGUUCAGCAGUGCGGUGCCACUAGCAGGCCAGAGAGCCGAACCGAGUGUUGGACGGACCAGUUUUCAUUCGAUACCGGAGAUGUAGAUUCGAUGCAAGAAGUCCGGCGAAAUUUAUUUCGCACAAAAACGAGAAGAUGUCCUGUUUAUGUUUGUCACAGCUUAACAAAAAUGGUGUGAAUACUUUUGUUUUAUUGAUUUUGAAUGGUUUGGUUUGUGCUUGAAACACUGAGUUUAUUGUUGGUUCAAGUUGUUUUUGAUCAAACAACUCAACUGCAUGUAAAGUGUUCACAUUCACAUAAAUACUUGUACAAAGCAUAUAAAAUACUUUAAAAAGCAUAUGUCUUUUGAGUUUAAACAGAUAUAUAUGUAUGAAAUUUAAGAAAAAAUUGUAAUCUCAAAAUAAUUACUUCAUAGCUUAAAGAUCUAAAAUAGUCUAAAUUUCCCGUCGGAAGAAAAUAUCUUCCAAUUUUCGACAUAAAUGUUAUGAAACUACCUAAUGUAUCAGAUCCGUUUCGUGCUACUUUAUAAAAGUAAAACCGUUAGUUAAGUUGCUACAAAGUAAUAAUUGAGCUUGAUAAACAAAGUAAGUAGUGGUACGAUCUAGUAGUCACUGCUUUACUGUCAUCAACCUGGGGGAUGCGUCGGAGAAGCAAAAAAAAAAAAGAGAGAAGGUGAAUUUUCCACGAACAUCAGCUAGGUGCUGAAAAUUGCAACACUUCACCGGCGCUACCCAUGACCUAUAACCCGUACGAACGAUCAGCCAGCAGCCGUGUCCAUGGACGUAGAUUUCCACGAAAAUUUUCCACCCCUGCCCACAACCUUGCUCGCCUUGCCAACCGGCAAACGUCUAGUCUGGGAAACUCAAACAUCAGGGGACCUGGAUGUUGGCCAAACAACUUCAGGCUGGACGAGAAACGGGAGAAGGGCCACAUGAAAGCGAGCACAUGUAAUGAAGGGGACAGAAUGAAGGGCGAAAAAAAACUACGUCGGUCACAUUCAUCAUAAUGCAGCUGUUGGAAGAAAAAAAAGAAUCAUUUACCAUGGGACCCGGUAAAUAGGAUGCUUUUGCAGAGUUACCUUUUCGAAGAGUGUCUUAAGAGGAUUGCACUAUUGAGAGGAAGAAACAGAAGCCACCAUUGCCAUUAAUAUCCCGAAAAAAGGGAGAUACGGUGCGUUUCGGGGUUUUGUCUUUUCCAUCGUGACGAUCGUACGAAGAAAAACCGAAUGGCGUAACCGAAGAACCUGGGAAUUGAAAGACUAAAUGCGUACCAGAACUAUAUGCUUCUUUCCUAUGCCCUGGACCUGGAGACUCCAUACCCGAAUGAAUGGAGGACGCUAACAAUAGAACAAGUUUUUUCCUUCGCUUUGCAUGUGUGUGUUUGAGGAGUGUAUUAAGAAUAGAAAUAUAAAGUUGAAACAAGGUUUAUAUGUAAAAAAAAUGUUACUUUUAAAUAUGCAGUGCGUGUGUUUAAUUGAAUAUAUUUUGUUUAGUAUUGUGUGUUUUGUGGUUUCAUAGUUCAUAAUCAACCCGCAGUAAAUUUCAAUUCUUAUUCUGGUGCUUAAGAGCUUGUUUAACAGCGUCCUUAACAUGUCCAACUACAAACUCUGAUGGUUUGAAAAUAAUUCUCACAAUUCCACGGGUCCUAGACAUAAACUAGAGAAGCACGUGAUGCUCUAAACACGCAAUGCUGGUACGUAACAUCAUCUUUUCCAUAAAAAUGGAUGCAUCCAAAACUGAGCAGCAAAUGCGGGAACUGAACGAAACUAAUUAACUAAUUUCAAUAGAUAUUCUCAUGUUACUCGUCGAGGACUCACUAAGGACCAC